UACAGAGGUCUCAAGCGUUGUUCGGAUUCAUUGGGCGUAAAGGGUGUGUAGGUGGCGCCGUAAGUCGGGUGUGAAAUUUCGGAGCUUAACUCCGAAACUGCAUUCCAUACUGCGGUGCUUGAGGACUGGAGAGGAGACUGGAAUUUACGGUGUAGCAGUGAAAUGCGUAGAGAUCGUAAGGAAGACCAGUGGCGAAGGCGAGUCUCUGGACAGUUCCUGACGCUGAGGCACGAAGGUCAGGGGAGCAAACGGG
rnacentral:rRNA from 1 species